rnacentral:tRNA from 1 species
GUGGCUUAAAAUACGAACAUUAGACGCCUAUACACAUCAGGGCAUAACCUAGCCCAACCUUGCCAAGGUUGGGGUCGAGGGUUCGAAUCCCUUCGCCCGCUCCA